CUCCUUUAGGCUCUUUAAGGCUUCACUUAUGCAAUUCAUACCAACAUCCUUUUCCAUUGUAGAUGUAUUUUUCUCGGAUGGCUACAUAAGAACUCAUAUCAAUUGUUCUUUAGUUCUUAUAUCAUUAAUUUUAAAGAGUUUUCUUUCUCUUCUCCAAAACCUAAAUUCCAAACAUAAAUUUUCAAGUCUAAUCAUCACUAUCAUACAACAACAAAAAUUUUGAUAAGAGCAUCCAAUGCAUGGCCACCACAGAACCUGAACAAACAACGACUAAUUAUAGAGCUUUGUCAUCCACCACCUCCACACCCAAAGCCUCUACAGAUGCUACCACUAGCACUGUAAGGAUUUAUGCACUAUGAGGUGGAUGAUGGCAUGUGCAUCAAAAUUUCAAUUGAAAGUGGUGAUCAAGCUCAGGCUGUUAAUCAAAAAAUAUGAUCAUGUAGUCUAAAUUUUAUGUAUAGUUGAUAUAUUAAGCUAGAGUGUUUAUUACAGGAGGUUAGGGUUGUAUUCAAUUUCAUGUAU
rnacentral:lncRNA from 1 species